AAAUCAAAAAUCUCAGUAACACUGUUGGAAUAAUGUACUCCCUGUGGUCUUAUUAAUGUCAGCUUAUUGAUAGCUCGAUUACCAAUCAAAUAGUUUCGAUGUUUUCUAUACUAUGAAGAAAAUUUGAUCUGAUUAGAUUAAUUCAGAUGUAAAUUUAUGUUAUACGGUGAAUGUAUCGAGUCAUAUUAUAUUCUGCAGAAUAUAUUG